rnacentral:rRNA from 1 species
GACGAACGCUGGCGGCAUGCCUAACACAUGCAAGUCGAACGGAGAUUAUUUCGGUAAUCUUAGUGGCGAACGGGUGAGUAACGCGUAGGCAACCUGCCCUUUAGUUGGGGACAACAUCCCGAAAGGGGUGCUAAUACCGAAUGUGAUCGUUUUCUCGCAUGAGAGAGCGAUGAAAGAUGGCCUCUAUUUAUAAGCUAUCGCUAAAGGAUGGGCCUGCGUCUGAUUAGCUGGUUGGUGAGGUAACGGCCCACCAAGGCGACGAUCAGUAGCCGACCUGAGAGGGUGAUCGGCCACAUUGGAACUGAGAAACGGUCCAA